UACGAAGGGGGCUAGCGUUGCUCGGAAUCACUGGGCGUAAAGGGUGCGUAGGUGGUGAGGUAAGUCGGAUGUGAAAUCUCGGAGCUUAACUCCGAAAUGGCAUUGGAAACUACCUUGCUCGAGGGUUGGAGGGGGGACUGGAAUACUUGGUGUAGCAGUGAAAUGCGUAGAUAUCAAGUGGAACACCAGUGGCGAAGGCGAGUCCCUGGACAACUCCUGACACUGAGGCACGAAAGCUAGGGGAGCAAACAGG
rnacentral:rRNA from 1 species